CACUCCUGCGGGAGGCAGCAGUGGGGAAUUUCGGACAAUGGGCGAAAGCCUGAUCCAGCCAUGCCGCGUGCAGGAUGAAGGCCUUCGGGUUGUAAACUGCUUUUGUACGGAACGAAACGGCCUUUUCUAAUAAAGAGGGCUAAUGACGGUACCGUAAGAAUAAGCACCGGCUAACUACGUGCCAGCAGCCGCGGUAAUACGUAGGGUGCAAGCGUUAAUCGGAAUUACUGGGCGUAAAGCGUGCGCAGGCGGUUAUGUAAGACAGUUGUGAAAUCCCCGGGCUCAACCUGGGAACUGCAUCUGUGACUGCAUAGCUAGAGUACGGUAGAGGGGGAUGGAAUUCCGCGUGUAGCAGUGAAAUGCGUAGAUAUGCGGAGGAACACCGAUGGCGAAGGCAAUCCUCUGGACCUGUACUGACGCUCAUGCACGAAAGCGUGGGGAGCAAACAGGAUUAGAUACCCUAGUAGUCCCAU
rnacentral:rRNA from 1 species